rnacentral:rRNA from 1 species
AUUGAACGCUGGCGGCAUGCCUUACACAUGCAAGUCGAACGGCAGCACGGGAGCAAUCCUGGUGGCGAGUGGCGAACGGGUGAGUAAUGCGUCGGAACGUGCCGAGUAGUGGGGGAUAACGCAGCGAAAGUUGUGCUAAUACCGCAUACGUACUGAGGUAGAAAGUGGGGGACCUUCGGGCCUCACGCUAUUCGAGCGGCCGACGUCUGAUUAGCUAGUAGGUGAGGUAAAGGCUCACCUAGGCGACGAUCAGUAGCGGGUCUGAGAGGAUGAUCCGCCACACUGGGACUGAGACACGGCCCAGACUCCUACGGGAGGCAGCAGUGGGGAAUGUUGGACAAUGGGCGAAAGCCUGAUCCAGCCAUGCCGCGUGUCUGAAGAAGGCCUUCGGGUUGUAAAGGACUUUUGUCAGGGAGGAAAUCCCUAGUGCUAAUAACACUGGGGGAUGACAGUACCUGAAGAAUAAGCACCGGCUAACUACGUGCCAGCCGCCGCAGUAA